rnacentral:lncRNA from 1 species
CCCGGGACUCGCUCAAGGCGGAGAGGGGGAAGGGGCCCUCGGGGAGGGGCGCCAGGGGACAGAAGUCACAGCUGAAUGCAGACUUCUGGCUGGAGGCUCAGGGGAGAGCCUGAAGACAGUCCCACUGAGCUGCCCCACAUCAAGGACUCAGACAAGAAGGAGAGACUAUGAAACAGACAAGCGCUCCCCAAGGCUCCUUCCUGGGGCGCGGGUUCCAAGCACCACCAGCAGAUGAGCCUGGAGAGAAACCUCCCUGCCACCCACCAGAUUCCUCC